rnacentral:misc_RNA from 1 species
AAGUCGUAACAAGGUUUCCGUAGGUGAACCUGCGGAAGGAUCAUUAACACUAUUUGGCUUAUUUCAUUAGGUUCGCUUAAUGAGAUAAGUUCAAAUUUCCACACACACCGCGAUUCCGGGGGCCGCAAGGCCGCCAUCAUGGAAGCAACGAGGGUAAGGUCGCUUGGCGUGACGAAGUGAGCUCAGGAUAUCCCAUCAACCUCGGCAACCCCCCUUCCGUCUCUCGUUGCGGCAUUUUUGGAGAUGUGACACUUCACACGUCUCGUCCCCCGUCCCUUUUUUCACCGUAAUCCAAUCGACUGAUUUUCGAAGUAAGUUGAAAAACUAAGCUUCUAGUAAAAAAACUAAGCACAACUCUUAGCAACGGAUAUCUUGGUUCUC